rnacentral:rRNA from 1 species
AUACGUAGGGUGCGAGCGUUGUCCGGAAUUACUGGGCGUAAAGAGCUCGUAGGUGGUUUGUCGCGUCGUCUGUGAAAUUCCGGGGCUUAACUCCGGGCGUGCAGGCGAUACGGGCAUAACUUGAGUACUGUAGGGGAGACUGGAAUUCCUAGUGUAGCGGUGAAAUGCGUGGAUAUUAGGAGGAACACCGGUGGCGAAGGCGGCUUACUGGACCGUAACUGACGUUGAGGCUCGAAGGCGUGGGGAGCAAACAGGAUUAGAUACCCUGGUAGUCCACGCCGUAAACGGUGGGCGCUAGGUGUAGGGGUCUUCCACGACUUCUGUGCCGUAGCUAACGCAUUAAGCGCCCCGCCUGGGGAGUACGGCCGCAAGGCUAAAACUUAAAGGAAUUGACGGGG